rnacentral:rRNA from 1 species
UUGCACGCUGGCGGCCGGCUUAACACAUGCAAGUCGAGCGGGGGAAGGUAGCUUGCUCCCGGACCUAGCGGCGGACGGGUGAGUAAUGCUUAGGAAUCUGCCUAUUAGUGGGGGACAACAUCUCGAAAGGGAUGCUAAUACCGCAUACGUCCUACGGGAGAAAGCAGGGGAUCUUCGGACCUUGCGCUAAUAGAUGAGCCUAAGUCGGAUUAGCUAGUUGGUGGGGUAAAGGCCUACCAAGGCGACGAUCUGUAGCGGGUCUGAGAGGAUGAUCCGCCACACUGGGACUGAGACACGGCCCAGACUCCUACGGGAGGCAGCAGUGGGGAAUAUUGGACAAUGGGGGGAACCCUGAUCCAGCCAUGCCGCGUGUGUGAAGAAGGCCUUAUGGUUGUAAAGCACGUUAAGCGAGGAGGAGGCUACUUUAGUUAAUACCUAGAGAUAGUGGACGUUACUCGCAGAAUAAGCACCGGCUAACUCUGUG